CGGUCCCUCCCGCUUCUUGUCCGGAUCAGCUAGAUUUCUCCCGACCCAAUCCGGUGCCUUCCACGCUCUUCUCUCCCUGUUUCUCGAUCUUCUCUGCCUCCCGAACUUUCUUCCGACGCGAACAGAUGGGCGGCGGCGGUGGUGCUAGCCGUCACCGGCGCGCCGCGGCGUCGCUCGUCCGUUUCCUCCUCCUCCUCCUCCUCCUCCCUCCCUCGCCUACUUCUUCCUCUGUUUCUUCCUCUCCUUCCUCUCUCUCUACUCUUUCCUCUCCCUGCGGCGGUGUGUGCGACGCAAGGGGGCGCCCUCCUCGGCCAGGGCUAACACUGGUGAGGCCUGGCGACCCUCCUCUCCCCCAUCCUUCGCACGCACUCGUCAACUCUUCCUCUCUUGUCGCGGAGUGUCUGCUUCGCUCGUUCGUGAAACCCUAGGUACCUAAAUGGAUCAUUCGACUUCAUCCUUCCAGUACCGAUUGCCAGGUCUCAUCUCAGGAACAUCAGCAGGUAAAUGAAUUUUUUUACUUUUAAUACAAUAUAUAACAAUUGUGUCUACUUUUUGCUGGCUGUACUUAGGUUGAUUCAAGGAGUUAUGGCAAACAUUGGCCUUACCAAACAUGUUCGUUCUGGUCCUGUACACUAAAUUUAUUUUUUAGUAGAUUCUUGUCAAUACUUGCAGCUAUUUUUCUUACCUCUAGAUUUCUGCGUGUAGUUCUUUCCUUGUUCUCAAAUAAUUAUUACCCCAGCCGAUUUGUUGCUUGCCACAAUCACGUCAAUAUCAAGGUAUUCUGAUUCCUGUUCUUCCUUUAAUUAUUCAUCUCUUCUUGAUAACUAGGUGUGCGCAUUAUGUACCUGUUACAAAUUUGGUUAUGGCUAUAUCUUGAUAGUAUGCUGCUAUUUUUGAAUUAUCAACUCAAACUGCUGGAAGCCUGCCUGCCUUUGGCUCGAUGAAAGUUGUGUCUAUGCGUGUCCCCUGCCUUUGUAGGAUGAAUGGCAGCACACUCUAUAGUAUGUGUUCAUGCAGUAUCUCUCUUAGUUGUAUUUUCAUCCCACCUAAUGUGUAUAUUAAUGCCUUAAUCUACAAAUACACGCUUCUAGCUUGCAAUGUACAGAGUUUAGCUGACUAUGCUAAUGUGAGAUCUGCUGUUUUUCUGUUGUAGGUUUGAUUGUCCAUAUCUAGGAUUCCGUCAUAGUUCAGUAUUGUCAUCCUUACCUAGAUCUCCUUCCUGUAAUAUGUUUCGUGCCUCCAAUCCUAUUGAAGCAUCUGCCUCUAUCGGAUGAGGCUACCUAUCCAGCUCACUUCUUAUGUGUUUUGUCCGAAGAUGAACUUUAAAUACUUCACCAUGGUUUGGAAUUAGGAUUUUACAGUGGCUUCCAUAUUCCAAACCCCACAGUGCAGGGCGCAGUCUCAGGAUAACAGCCAAAGCAACCUCCCAAUUCUCCAGGAUGUGCACAAAAGUAGCCUCCACACUAGGUACUACGUAUUUUUUUUAGCUAACUCACAAUACAGACCUAAUAGAUAGGUAUUACGAUGGCCAUCAUCUUGUAUUUCACGAAUGUAAGAUUCUAUUUUAGGUCAACAUGCAAAGUGAAAAUAUAGGUGCUUCCAACAAUGUAGGUGGCAUCACUACUUGCUUUUCUUUCCCACGCCCGAAAAUGUAGGUGAUUCCAGCAACAUUGCUCAGUUUGGUAUUUCCCCUGCUUCUGCCCUUGCUUGCUUUUAUUUGUGCAUACCAGCUUCAUUGCCACACAUGAUGAUUGCUAACUGAGGUCCUUUAUUUGGUGUUUAGGACAAAUAGUUGUCACAUUUAAUGUAUUGUCCUGCACUCUCUUGCUAUAAUUUUUAAUACUGAAUUAGAGAAUACUAAUAUUUAGAUGUAUCCGCACACAGAUUUGUCAUAUGCCCUAUAUUUUCAAACAAAAGUUCUCUCAAUAAUAGAUACUUCAUAAAAAAAAUUGAUUAAUAUGAAUCGUUAAAUAUGUUGUUAUUUACCUACUGUUGCAUCCAAACUUUGUCAAUGACAUGCUAAUUUUUUUCUUUGUAAAUGGCACAGAGCACUACUCUACAUGAAUUCAUUCAUAGUUAUAUACAGUUCAGGCACAAAUGGUAUGAUUUGAUACGCUGAAGUCCAAGGGGGACAGUAGCAGGUUUGGUUGUUGGGGACCUUGCGGUGUCUCCCCCCUCUCUUCCCUAGAUGUGGGCGAUGGCGACAGUACCCUUCCGGUGCACGCCCCCAUGGCUGCCCUUCUCAGUGUCUCCCUCUUUGCUCGCCACUCGGCAGCGUCUUCUUUCCCUCUGUCUCUCUCUCUCUCUCUCUCUCUCUCUCUCCACGUGCCAUGGCGCUCUGCCUGGGACUCUGCAUUGGCCACACAUGGUAGACACACCCAGGACAGAUGGGCCUUAGCAACCCACGGUUUGGGAAGGAGCAAUCUUAAUUAGGUGCUCCUGUUUCCUCUCCUUUUGUGGUUUUGAUUCUCUCGAUUCUCUCUGAUUUCUUCCUAGGUUGGCUUCGAUUCCUAAACUUUUUCCCUGGAGCCUGUGAUGAAAAUUCUAGACCCACUGAUCAAGGAUAUGAACUGAUGUUCGUUUGCCUGUCAAUUAGUUGUGCAAUUAAAGACAACAAAGUGCAUCAGCUCCUCAACAAGAAACCACGUCCACUUCUACCUAAAUAAGUCCUGCCAUUUGAUUACCUGCAUUACCCCAUAAAUCGUGCUUUGAAGCUGAUUCUAACUGUGUUGCCUAGCUUCCGCUCGAUUCCUUCAGUCUUUAUGCGGUACCUCUUGUUUCUUCUCCGGAUCAGCUAGAGACAAAUAUAUAUGCCGAAUCAUCAUAGAUUCCUCCUGAGGCAGUCCGGUGCCUUGUUUCCUCUCAUUCUUGAUUUUGAUUCCGUCUCUUUGAUUUCUUCCUACAUUGGCUUGGAUUCCUAAACUUUUUUCUUCUUUGGCCUGUGAUGAAAAUUCCUGAAUAUUGGUCAAGGAUAUGAACUGAUGUUUGUUCGCUUGUGAGGUACUAGGCAUGAUCUGCUACUUAUCUUGUGCAUUUUAUGGGAGUAACAAAAUUGUGACCACGCCUAGAAGCUCCAAGUUCAUGAACAAGUGAUGAUUGGAAUAUUUCUGAGGCCUCUAAACUUUUCCCUUCUUUGGCCUGUGAAGAAAAUGUAGACCCAUUGGUCAAGGAUAUGAACUGAUGUUUGUUCGCUUGUGAGGUACUAGGCAUGAUCUGCUACUUAUGUUGUGCAGUUUAUGGGAGUAACAAAAUUGUGACCAUGCCUCGAAGCUCCAAGUUGACGAACAAGUCAUGACUCAAAUAUUUCUGAGGCCUCUAAAGUUUUCCCUUCUUUAGCCUGUGAUGAAAAUUCCAGACCUAUUGGUCAAGGAUAUGAACUUAUGGUCAUUCACCUGUGAGGUACUAGGCAUGAUCUGCUACUUAUGUUUUGCAAAUUAUGGAAAUAACAAAAUUGUAACCAUGCCUCAAAGCUCCAAGUUGAUAAACAAGUGAUGAUUAGAAUGUUUCUGUGGCCUUUAAAAAUCAUGUCUUCAUUAAGAAAAAUUUUAAUCUUUUUUGUUGUGUAGAUGAUGAGUUGUAGGCUCUGCACUCCUUCCCACUCUGCAUUGAGUUCUUCCUGCAAUUAAAUAGACUUCUUAUUUAUCUAAAGUGCUACCAGGCAUUGAGUUCUUCCUACAAUUAAAUAAACUUCUUAUUAUCUGAAGUGCUGCCAGGUACAUAGGUACCUAAAAUCUUCAAACACUUUUGUUUUGUGAACACUAAGUAGUACGCUCUCCACUCCUUCCCACUCUGCAUUGAGCUCUUUCUGCAAUUAAAUGGACUUCUUAUUAUCUGAAGCGCUACCAGGUAGACAGGUAUGUACAAUCUUCAUGCACUUUUGGUUUGUGAAUACUUAACGUGAUAGCAUAGUACUUUAACACAGGUAGUUGGUGACAAUAAGAAAAACUACGGUUGCAAGUAAUAGUUCAAACGCUACAAAAUUAGGAUUAGUAUAUGCACAAAAUGUAGGAAGAAAAGUAAUGCCUAUAAUGUGGCUGACCUGCCACAGAUAGCAAUGUAUAUAUAUUUUAGAUGCCCCUAUUUUGUGCCCAAGCGCCACAUUUGUCAGACUCCAACAGAGAGUUAUGCUAACCGGUGAAUAACACUUUUUUUGAUAUUUUCCCCAUUCUUCUUUGAUGCGCGAAUGGGCUGAUGGCACAGAAAUGCUUGUCACUUUGUUUAUUUGUACAGAAUCAAGCACCAGUGUGACGGUGUGGCUGUGCCAAAUGUCAGCGCAGAUACGAUCGAGCUUGCAUUGUUUCCAUUCUGAUGUUUCAUCUAUAUUAGUUACAUGCAGGAUGAUAAAUUCAUGAUGGAUGCUUAUAUACUGUAUGUCUCUUUGAUCUCUCUUCACAAAAAUUUACUGCUAGGAUGAUUAGCACAACUAAUAUAGUAUAUAACUAUAUGAUGACUUUUUGUCAGUGGUGACUAACAUCCAUGAACCCGAUGCAGGAUGAUAGCUUCAGUAACAACCUCUUCAGUAAAUUAGCAUCUGCACUGCAAAAAGAAAGGCUCAUGCCCUGUCAUCAACCUUAUGUGCUCUGUCAGCUCACACCAUCCACCCUUUGUAUAAAGUUUAUAGUAUGUACCAUGAACUCUUAAUUGUAAAAUUCCUAUUUGUACAAAAACUACUGACUGCUCAGACCAUGUAUGCACCCUAUAUAUAUUAGUGUAAUAUGGCCUCAGCUUGUUUUAGUCGCACUGCUUUUCAAUUGUAGCAUCCAAAAAUAAUCAAGACAGGUCAUACUUAAUUAAUAUAGUUAGCUUCAUAAAUAAUACUA